rnacentral:rRNA from 1 species
GGCUCGCAGGCGGUUUCUUAAGUCUGAUGUGAAAGCCCCCGGCUCAACCGGGGAGGGUCAUUGGAAACUGGGAAACUUGAGUGCAGAAGAGGAGAGUGGAAUUCCACGUGUAGCGGUGAAAUGCGUAGAGAUGUGGAGGAACACCAGUGGCGAAGGCGACUCUCUGGUCUGUAACUGACGCUGAGGAGCGAAAGCGUGGGGAGCGAACAGGAUUAGAUACCCUGGUAGUCCACGCCGUAAACGAUGAGUGCUAAGUGUUAGGGGGUUUCCGCCCCUUAGUGCUGCAGCUAACGCAUUAAGCACUCCGCCUGGGGAGUACGGUCGCAAGACUGAAACUCAAAGGAAUUGACGGGGGCCCGCACAAGCGGUGGAGCAUGUGGUUUAAUUCGAAGCAACGCGAAGAACCUUACCAGGUCUUGACAUCCUCUGACAACCCUAGAGAUAGGGCUUUCCCUUCGGGGACAGAGUGACAGGUGGUGCAUGGUUGUCGUCAGCUCGUGUCGUGAGAUGUUGGGUUAAGUCCCGCAACGAGCGCAACCCUUGAUCUUAGUUGCCAGCAUUCAGUUGGGCACUCUAAGGUGACUGCCGGUGACAAACCGGAG